UCUGUGUUGUGUGUGUAUCGAAGAUGAAUGAAUGGGUUUAGGUUAGGUUUAGGUUAGUGAGAUCAGAAAAGGGGGGGAAAACAUAAAAAAAUAAUAAUAAUAAUAAUUUAAAAAAAAAGACACAGAAGCGGGCGGGUCGGGUUUAAUGGCCAAAAUGGCGGAUCACCUGCCACCCGACCCGAACCCGCAAAAUGCCAAAAUCCCCCGCACCUGCCCGUCCCAUACCACGUAUCCAUCCAAAUGGGGGUCGGGUCGGGCCGGGCCGGUCGGGUCUGUCGGGUCGGUGCAUCCAUUGAUCACCCCUAAUGGAAAUGACAAAAUUGAAGGUCUAUAUAUUAUAGGCAUCGGGGUCCGUGGAAGAGGAAGAGGAUGAGGAAUAGAGGAACAGAGGAAUAGGAAGGAAGCAUCCAUCAUGUAUCAUCUCCUCCCCAGCACUCCUUUUUUUGCCCAUAAACCCCAUCGCUGCUGCUUCUCCUCCCCCCUAUCACUCUCUGGUCUGCUCUCUCUCUCUGUCUCUCUCUCUCUCCCUGAUCUCUCAUCUCUACACUGCACCGAUCGAAUCUGUGUGUGUAAUGUCUCCCUCAUUCUGUGAUGUCUGUAAUGUCUGUAUGUUAAUCUGAAUCUGAAAUGUUGAUCUUAGUUGAUCACACUGUGUAAUCUGAAAUCUGAUCUUAGUUGUGUCUCACACUGUGUAAUGUUGAUCUUAGUUGUGAAAUCUGAAAUCUGUAUGUUAAUUUUAUUAAUUCUGAAAUCUAAAUCUGAAUCUGAAAUAUGAAUCUGUGUGUUUUUGUUUUUAAUUAAUUUAAUUUUUUUUUCAGAUUUGGUAUAUUAUAUAUGCAAAUCAAGACAAAAGUACCCAGAAAUUAAAAUCAAGUUACAUGUUUGUGCAUUUAGGGCGUGUUUGGACAUCCCAUUGGACUUGAAUGUUUACAUACUUAGUUAUAUUUCAGCUUAGAAAAGCAGCAGUGUUAUAGUGGACAAGUGAUAUAGUGUCAUUUGGGAAGUCAUUUGCUUAACUAGAUGGUGUGUAUUGAAAAUAAACUGAGGUAAUUGUAUAAGGGCAGUUUGGGAAUGGUAAAAUGGGCGACAGUGUUCACGCCAACUUGGGCGCUCGCAUUAUAUAAUAGAAUAGAUAAACUCAUUAAUUAUGCAAUGUCAGUUUAUGAUGUUAAAAGCUAUGAAUGGUGCAGUGAUAUUAUUAAAUUUCUUGGGUUAUCCAAACAACUUAUUUUGUAACAUGGGGAAAAGAAAAGGGAAGGGAAAUUUGAAUUAAGCUUCUUUUUUUAUUUUAUUUUUUCCCUCUACAUUUUCUUUCCUUUUUUAUUUUUUCUCCACAAACACAGCCUAAAGAAUUCUUUGUGAUAAGCAUAUGGUUGUUAAUUGUUAAGGUAAGCCAAUUAACUAGAAAGCUUAUAAACUGUUAGAAAUGGGCCAGUAAUGUGUAUGAAGCUGUCACAAUGAUGAUAUUAAUUUGAUUUGUUUUUUAGAAUGACUCAUCAUGUUCCCAAAUUCAUUAGUAUUCGGAUGUGUGGUGUAGGCAUGCAUAGAAUGUGGUUUCUUUUACGUCAUAAACUAUGGGGUAGAGCAAGAACUGCUUAAGCAAGUGUUUGAUGAGAGCAAAAGAUUCUUCUCACUCCCCCCUGAAGAGAAGAUGAAAUUGCUUCACAAAGAAAAUAGAGGUUAUACGCCACUGUAUGCCGAGAAUCUCAACCCUUCUUCAAGUUCUAAAGGUGACUCAAAAGAAAGUUUCUAUAUUGGUCCCAUGGAAAGCAUUUCAAGUCAUAGUAAUCUGAAUCAAUGGCCUUCAGAAGGAAAUUCCAGAAGUUUUUCCAUCUUGGAGACCUACUAUUGAAUCUUACUAUGAAAGAGUCCUGUAAGUUUUCCCCAUUGUUUAUUCCUGUGUCACACUCUGAAAAGAUAGUAGAAAGUUAUCAAAAAUCAUAGUAGAUCUAUUCAC